UACAGAGGUCCCGAGCGUUUGUUCGGAUUCAUUGGGCGUAAAGGGUGCGUAGGUGGCGCUGUAAGUGGGGUGUGAAAUCCCGGGGCUUAACCCCGGGACUGCAUUCCAUACUGCGGUGCUUGAGGACUGGAGAGGAGACUGGAAUUUACGGUGUAGCAGUGAAAUGCGUAGAGAUCAAGUGGAACACCAGUGGCGAAGGCGAAAUCCCUGGAAAAUACCUGACACUGAGGACACGAAAGCUAGGGGAGCAAACAGG
rnacentral:rRNA from 1 species